UACGUAGGGUGCAAGCGUUAAUCGGAAUUACUGGGCGUAAAGCGUGCGCAGGCGGUUUCCUAAGUCUGUCGUGAAAUCCCCGGGCUUAACCUGGGAAUGGCGAUGGAGACUGCGAGGCUAGAGUUUGGCAGAGGGGGGUAGAAUUCCACGUGUAGCAGUGAAAUGCGUAGAGAUGUGGAGGAACACCGAUGGCGAAGGCAGCCCCCUGGGUCAAAACUGACGCUCAUGCACGAAAGCGUGGGGAGCAAACAGG
rnacentral:rRNA from 1 species